rfam:Myotis brandtii contig231154, whole genome shotgun sequence.
GGCCUGGAAGCUCAGUUGGUUAGAGUGUUGGCCUGAUACACCAAGGUUUCAGGUUCAAUCCCUGGUCAGGGCA